rnacentral:lncRNA from 1 species
AUGGACAGCUGGACUCUCCAGGGGGACAGCUACUCCUUCCUGCGCAGUGCGCCCCGCACCUUUUCUCUGUGCCAUCGUGACGGCACCCCUAACCACGUUGAAAUCUUUGACAUUAUCAACGUCCCUUCACAGCGCAGUGCCAUCUCUGAGACCACCUGCCUGUGUGACAUUUUUGGGGACGACUGUGAGUCGCCGUCUCUCUCAAGCAGCCCAGCUGCUGGGGCCUUUGUCCCUCCUCAGAGGGAGCUGGAUGAGACUGCUGCCGCAUCACCCCUGGCAGAUGAUCUGAACGAUUCCUCCGGCUCUUACCACACUGCACCUGGCUCCAGCGAAGGAGAAGAAGGUUUUGAAGAUUCAAGAGAGAGGAUUACCAGCCCCCUGUUGCAGACAGAGCCUUCAGAAAGGACUCUAUCAAAGGGACAGGGGACAAGCUCAGGGCUUCCAGAAGCUUCUGAGGACAGUAGCCCUAAUUUAGAACCAAAAGGGGAAUCACCUGUAACUCACUUUUGUUCAGCAAGCCCAACAACUCAAGUCAUCACAACUGGAAAGAGGACCCCUUCUCCUGGACACAUCAGCCCUUAUACCCCCAGUCCAGAGGGAAGACUGUCCUCUCUGUCCUCCUCCUCACUUCAUUCACCAUUAUCACCUGAUGCAAAACAGGCACCUUCAGAAGCUGAACAAAGUCCGUCAUUCAAAGAUAGACCUAACAGCCCCUCACAUCAGUCUGUAAGUCCCUCCACUGAGCCAAGACACUGUGUCAUCUCAUCCUCCUCUGAAUCAGUUCCACCUGAGUACAGAGUAACAAGGGACUCACCUGAGUCCAAAACCAGACACGUAAAUCAGAUCAUCAGUCCAUCACCUGAGCUCACAUUGAAAGACGUUUCCCAGGAUUUUACAGAAUCCGAAUCUGCAACCGUCAUUUCAUCCCCUGGACCGUCACCCUGUAGUGCAGAGUUAUUAUCUCAGUCCAGAGAAACACUGGUCUCUCCUGAGCCUAGUAGCUCAUCACGCAACACUCACACAUCAUCCCCUUUCACUGAACCUAGAGGGAGGGUGUCUCUACCUGAUUUGUUUAGCAGAGACUCCACACCUGAACUAAAAGAUUACACCCACACACCUGAGCUGGUUUCAGAUCCCUCUCCUGGAGAAAGAGACACCACAACUACUCCUGAGACCCAAGGUACAAGGUUAGAGGCUGGACUAGACAGCACUGUUUCUUCACCUGUCCCCCGAUACACACCUCCCUCACCUGUCAGUUCAAUAGCAAGAUCCCCUGAGCCUGUGGAGCCUGAAUUAAAAAGCACAGCUCCCUCACCUGGCCUGCUCAGUGCUGCCUCUUCAGCCAAAUCUGAGACAAGAACUCCCUCUCCUGACCCAUCAUCUGAAGUCAGACACAAUUCAACAUUUUGUCAAAUCAGGACGCAGGUGUCCUCACCUGUGGUGAGUUAUAGUUUAUCUCCAUCACCUGGAAUAAGGGACAGCUGCUCUCCCACAGAGCACAGACAUACAACUCCCUCACCUGAAAUCAGGAUUACAAGAUCCUCACCAGAAGUUAGGAGUAACGAGCAGUCAUCUAAUUUAGAGACACCUUCAGCCUCUCCUCUUCUAGAGCCUCCCUCUGCUUUAUCACGAAGCCCCACGUCCUCUCCUCAUAUCACAGGGAUUUCUUACUCUGUUGUUCAGCCUGAGGACAGGGAUUCACCCCUGUUUCCUGAACUCGCUCAUCUCUCUACUCUGGAGCCAGACGGGACACAUAUGUCCUCUGAACCAAGGAGUCUUACUGCAAGCCGCAACAGUACGGAGAGCAGAGGUACGCCGAAAGACUCACCUCACACAUUAGGCUUCUCAAGCUCUGUCCAACAGUCUGAAAUAUAUCAGCACAGGUACCAAACCCCUUCCCCUCAGCCAAAUCCUCACACCCCAUCCCCUAAACCAAGAUAUCAAACCCCUUCACCUGACAGGCAUCAGAGUCCAUCCUCACAUUACUCAAGCAGAGAUCCAUCACCUGCUGCUUUAUUUCCUGGGCAGAGAUAUCAGCGUUCACCUGCAUCCGUCUCCCCAGAGUACAUCCCUCAGAACCCACAACCUGCUUCUCCUGUAAGGAAAACACCUGAGGUUGAAAGGAAUUCCUCUUCACUUGAUAUUACAGAAACACAAUUGCCCACGGUUUUGGGAAACGAUAGUGUGUCUCCUUCAUUUCAAUUAGAUAGGACAGACAGGUCAGCUGAAAUCAAAAGCUGUUCACCAGUGGAGAUUGUUUGUUCAUCUGUGUCUACUUCACCUGCUUUUACAAAGGAAGACAGCUUGCCGAAACAAAGCACAGAGAAAGAGAGACCCCCAAGCAAGCAAGAAACCUUUCAGGAUAGAUCAAGUGUAGCUUCCUCCUCUGAAGAAAGGCAAGAGGUUUGCCCCCUAUUUUUUCAGAGAGAAGACACUGAAAUCAAAUCUCCAUCCCCUAAUCUUAUUGUCUCCAAGGACAAGAGUCCAAACAUUUCCCCUGUUCAUAGAGCCAUAUCCAACUCACCUGUGCAAAGACUAGAAAACCACCAAUCUGAAUUCACUAAUUACUCGCUGACUUCUGAGAACAGUAACUUAUUAAAAUCAACCUUUACACCCGCAAGCUUAAGAAAACAGCUGACACCCAAAGUUAGACGUGAAAACAGAGAGCGGUCCACUGAAGACAUGUCUCGUCAUGUAAGCAGAAGGCGGACACCAUCUCCACCACUCACCAGGUUUACACCUGUCCACAUCAUAGCCCCAGAAAAGCCAUACAGACAGUGGCAGAACAGAAGCCGCAGCCCCUCUCAGGUUGUAACAUCUCCACCAAGUGGUAAUUUACAGAAAGCGGUGGCAAACAGGGAAAGCCCCUAUGCUGCUGACAGUAAUAGCCAGGCCCACUGGGUCAGACAAGGAAGGCAAUUGGAGAUGGAGAGUGAAAUGCUGCUGGAGCAGCAGAGAGAGGUAGAUAGAGAGAGGCAAAGGGACAGAGAGAUUGGAAGAGGGAGAAAGAGGGAGGAG